rnacentral:rRNA from 1 species
AGGACGAACGCUGGCGGCGUGCUUAACACAUGCAAGUCGAGCGGUAAGGCCUUUCGGGGUACACGAGCGGCGAACGGGUGAGUAACACGUGGGUGAUCUGCCCUGCACUUCGGGAUAAGCCUGGGAAACUGGGUCUAAUACCGGAUAUGACCUCCUAUCGCAUGGUGGGUGGUGGAAAGAUUUAUCGGUGCAGGAUGGGCCCGCGGCCUAUCAGCUUGUUGGUGGGGUAAUGGCCUACCAAGGCGACGACGGGUAGCCGACCUGAGAGGGUGACCGGCCACGACUGGGACUGAGACACGGCCCAGACUCCUACGGGAGGCAGCAGUGGGGAAUAUUGCACAAUGGGCGAAAGCCUGAUGCAGCGACGCCGCGUGAGGAUGACGGCCUCGGGUUGUAAACCUCUUUCAGCAGGACGAAGCGCAAGUGACGGUACCUGCAGAAGAAGCACCGGCUAACUACGUGCCCAGCAGCCGC